rnacentral:rRNA from 1 species
UACGUAGGGGGCAAGCGUUGUCCGGAAUCAUUGGGCGUAAAGAGCGUGUAGGCGGUUCGGUAAGUCGGCUGUGAAAGUCCAGGGCUCAACCCUGGGAUGCCGGUCGAUACUGCCGGACUAGAGCUCGGAAGAGGCGAGUGGAAUUCCCGGUGUAGCGGUGAGAUGCGCAGAUAUCGGGAGGAACACCUAUGGCGAAGGCAGCUCGCUGGGACGUUACUGACGCUGAGACGCGAAAGCGUGGGGAGCAAACAGG